CGGAGAGGUUUCCAUGGAAUAGACUUUGGGGUUUUAAUCGAAUUUUGGCUCAAUAGGAUGCGGCUCCGAUCAGCUAACGGGAUUUUAGAAGGCAAUAAUGGAGGGUAUGCCAGUAAAUGGUGGGGGAUGUGUAAGGACAGAUUCAUCACUGAGGUUUUCACCAAGAGACAUGAGGACCAUCAGUGAGCCCUUUGAAGAUCUCACUGAUGGGCCUGAGUACCACCACCACCACCAUCAUCCUUUCUCUCCCUUGAAGCCCUCUGCAGAACAAGACACUUCUCAAAGCUUCUCUCUGUUUCUUCUGCAUCUCAGAGGAUGGAUCCCUGCCAGUGGAAGUCUGAAGCCAGCCCUUCUGCCUUGCUUGUGAGCUGACCUUGGCUUCCCAGACAAACCACUGCUAGGAUGUUUUAUCUGAGGCAAGUACAGUCCUGAACAAAAGCAAACUCAUUCCUGGGAUUUAAGGAGAGAACCUGAGAAAUCUCCUUAACAGGAACCUCUACCCUACUUCCACUAUGUCUGAAAAAAAUCGCAUCAUAAGAGC
ensembl:lncRNA